rnacentral:misc_RNA from 1 species
CUGAAUAUCAAGAAAUAGUUGCAUGCAGAUCUUGUCAGUUUCAGACAAAUUGUGAUCCGAGACAUCUGAGCUUGCUCCAGCUCGCCUUUGAGCACCCAAACGUAGUUUUUGAAGAGAAGAUUCCGUUCUUCUACUCAUAUUCACAAGUUCUGACGUUAAAUCAUAGUAACGUUGAGUUAUUUCCAAAGCAGCACCUUGCAAGAGCUCAUUCCUUGUCUCAUUAUUCAGACAAGUUGCAGCCCUUUCUCCCUCCAAAAACUCCUUCAAUGGACGCAAUACUCCAGAGACGUAUGGAGAAUGCCUGACUGGGAGAG